AGAGUUUGAUCAUGGCUCAGGGUGAACGCUGGCGGCAUGUCUAAGGCAUGCAAGUCGAAAGCCUAGCUUGCUAGGCUUGGCAGACGGGAGAGUAACACGUUGGUAAUCUGCCUCUAUCUCGGGAAUAACCCGGAGAAAUCUGGAAUAAUACCCGAUAGACAUGGGGGGACAUAUGUCAUUCCCAUGUAAAGAUUUAUCGGAUAGAGAGGAGCCUACGGCCCAUCAGCUAGUUGGUAAGGUAACUGCUUACCAAGGCUACGACGGGUAGCGGGUGUGAGAGCAUGACCCGUCCCACUGGGACUGAGACACUGCCCAGACUCCUACGGGAGGCUGCAGUCAAGAAUCUUCCUCAAUGGACGAAAGUCUGAAGGAGCAAUGCCGCGUGAUCGAUGACGCUUUUCGGAGUGUAAAGAUCUUUUAUCAGGGACGAAUUCGUGACGGUACCUGAUGAAUAAGUCACUGCUAACUUCGUGCCAGCAGCAGCGGUAAUACGAAGGUGGCGAGCGUUACCCGGAUUGAUUGGGCGUAAAGGGUCCGUAGGCGGCCCCAAAAGUUCUUGGUCAAAUCUUGAGGCUUAACUUCAAGACUGCCAAGAAUACUCUGGGGCUAGAGACCGGAAGAGGCAAGCGGAAUUGCCGGUGUAGUAGUAAAAUGCGUUGAUAUCGGCAGGAACACCAAAAGCGAAGGCAGCUUGCUAGGACGGUUCUGACGCUCAGGGACGAAAGCGUGGGUAGCGAAUGGGAUUAGAUACCCCAGUAGUCC
rnacentral:rRNA from 1 species